AUGUGAUCGCUUUUAUAUUCUUAGUAUAAAAGCUCAUGUAAUUUUCCCGACCCCCGCUAGUAACUCCAGACGAGGAGCCUUCGCUCGAAACAUCGAAAUUCUCCUUAUAUUGUGAUAUAAGUUCGAAAUUCUCCUUAAUGUUGCUUCAGGAUCAUACUCUUCUGCAAAUCUAUAAAACAGACAAUAUUUGAACAUCUAACAAACAAAUAGUUGAAAAGA